rnacentral:rRNA from 1 species
UGCCAGCAGCCGCGGUAAUACGGAGGGGGCUAGCGUUGUUCGGAAUUACUGGGCGUAAAGCGCACGUAGGCGGACUGGAAAGUUGGGGGUGAAAUCCCGGGGCUCAACCCCGGAACUGCCUCCAAAACUCCUAGUCUUGAGGUCAAGAGAGGCGAGUGGAAUACCGAGUGUAGAGGUGAAAUUCGUAGAUAUUCGGUGGAGCACCAGUGGCGAAGGCGACUCGCUGGCUUGAUACUGACGCUGAGGUGCGAAAGUGUGGGGAGCAAACAGGAUUAGAUA